rfam:Prosthecomicrobium hirschii strain 16 C1, whole genome shotgun sequence.
CCUCUUCCCCUCGCGCGCCCGGACCCCUAUAUUCACGACGUCGUCGCAAGGCGACUAUGGCGAUAAACGGCCGUUGUAAUAAGCCUUUCGGACCCGGGGGCGGUACCCGGCGCCUCCACCCGAACCCGUCCGGCACGAUGCCGGGGCGGGUUCCGGCGGGGGCGAACUAGGAUCGACGAGGGCCUAAAGAGCGUUCUUUCGCCCGGCAUGAUACCGCCGUUAUCGGGUCAAAUUUAUAGUUGCCAACGACAACUAUGCUCCGGUUGCGGUUGCCGCGUGAGCGGUAACUAAUCCGGUACCAAGUCCUGGCGGGUAGCACCGUCAGGCGGGGUUCGGAGGUACCUGGCAACAGAAACCUCCACU